rnacentral:rRNA from 1 species
UGGGGAAUAUUGCACAAUGGGGGAAACCCUGAUGCAGCGACGCCGCGUGAGCGAUGAAGGCUUUCGAGUCGUAAAGCUCUGUCCUAUGGGAAGAUAAUGACGGUACCAUAGAAGAAAGCCCCGGCUAAUUACGUGCCAGCAGCCGCGGUAAUACGUAAGGGGCGAGCGUUGUCCGGAAUUAUUGGGCGUAAAGAGUGCGUAGGCGGCAAAUUAAGUCAGAUGUGAAAACUAAGGGCUCAACCCAUAGAUUGCAUCUGAAACUGAUAUGCUUGAGUCAAGGAGAGGAAAGGGGAAUUCCUAGUGGAAGGGUGGAAUGCGUAGAUAUUAGGAGGAAUACCGGUGGCGAAGGCGACUUUCUGGACUUGAACUGACGCUGAGGCACGAAAGGGGGGGGAGCAAACAGG